ACGAACGCUGGCGGCGUGCUUAACACAUGCAAGUCGAACGGAAAGGCCUCUUUCGGGGGGUACUCGAGUGGCGAACGGGUGAGUAACACGUGAGUAACCUGCCCUUGACUUUGGGAUAACUUCAGGAAACUGGGGCUAAUACCGGAUAGGAGCUCCUGCUGCAUGGUGGGGGUUGGAAAGUUUCGGCGGUUGGGGAUGGACUCGCGGCUUAUCAGCUUGUUGGUGGGGUAGUGGCUUACCAAGGCUUUGACGGGUAGCCGGCCUGAGAGGGUGACCGGCCACAUUGGGACUGAGAUACGGCCCAGACUGCUACGGGAGGCAGCAGUGGGGAAUAUUGCACAAUGGGUGGAAGCCGGAUGCAGCAACGCCGUGUGCGGGAUGACGGCCUUCGGGUUGUAAACCGCUUUCGCUCAUGACGAAGCUUUGUGUGACGGUAGUGGGUAAAGAAGCACCGGCUAACUACGUG
rnacentral:rRNA from 1 species